AAAUGAACAAUCCCACUUCUCAGGAAGCUUUGGUUGAACCAUUUCUUAACGCUUUUUCUUCUCCUUCCCCAAGCAAGGACGCACUUAGGCCAAGAACGAUAGGGAACAAGAAUAUGAUCCAGAGGAUUCAGCUAGUGGGAGAGGAUGGGCAAAAUUCCACGUGUUGUCUGCUGUGGGCACCAGUUUGUCUUUCUCUGCUGGUUCCAGUACCUCCUCCCCAGCUGUAUGUGCCCAUUACAGCUUUCUAACAGCACAGCAGAGAACACACGUAGGUGUAACGUUUGUUUUAGUAUACAUAUUCACUUAAGCUAAGAAGUGCAGAUGCUUUUGCAUAGAAAUCUGUUCUUCCUGUUCAUCUGGUAUUUUCACCAAGCCUGGACAUCAAUCCAUGGAGUCUUUUCUCUGGAACCCUGUUUUUUGACAGUGAAGUUCUUGUUAAAACCUCUUCAGUUUCUGAAAUGGAUGAUUGCAAGCCACAGUUGCAUUGCGUAACUGACAUGGAGUUUAAAAAAAAAAAAAUCUCAUUAGUUUUCUAAUGGUUCAUUUAGCAUCUGCUUGACUUCAGCUAUUGAACUGUUAGGCAAGCUGAUUAAUGUAUUUUAAUUGUCCCUUCCAUUCAGCUUUUUCAUAUUUCUUAUAGAAGGGCAGUCAUGGAGCUUUCCCAUAAGAGGAAAGAGCUCCAAGAGACAGUGACCUCUGGAAGGCUCGCAUGUUUUGUUCAGAGGAGAAACAGAUGUUACUGAGUACUUCUAGCUGACAAAGAGCAUCUGCAUGUUGUGUUUUCCCCAAAAAAUAGCUGCAACAAGCAGCUGGAGACAAAUUCCUGCCUCGUGCUUCCAAGCUUUUUUUACAGCUAGUAUUAGCCCCUUGGAAUAUUUUGGUCUUCCCUGGCAUUUUUACAAGUGAUUUCAGUGAUUUUAUCCCUGCUGCUUUCUCCUCUGUCCUGCCAGAAGGAAAUGCUGUUUUUCACACUUGUAGUCACUAAACAAGUAUUUCUAUAAAUAUGUUGUUUGCAUCUUUCCAGGCUUACUCACCUUCAUUUCUCCAGCUACUGAAGUGCUCAGAUGGAGAGCUGCAUCCUCCCAGCAAGAAAUGACCUGAGACUCACGAGCGAGCUCGUGUUUUUCCAUGACCCAGGUCCCUCAAUCCCUCUUGGACUUCAGCACAUCUCAGAUUAUCAUCUACAUUUGUUGGAUCUUAGGUUGCAUAUCUUGGUUAAACUACUUGGAACUUCCAGAACUCGUUAGAGCUCUGCACCUGUCUGCAUAACAAUAUUUGUGCAUGCCAACAAACUUCCAUGGCUACUGUCUGUCACCUAUUUUCAAUCCCCAGACAGCUGUUAGAGGACAGCAGAGCCCAGAACUUCCCUUCAGAAGGUGGUGCAAUGCCAGGUGCUGCCCCAAGGCCCCAUCUCUGAGUUUUUCCCAUCUCAUUUGUUACAGAAUUUACUUCACAUUGCUUGUAGCUGCCUUAAAAAAAAGAAAAAGAAAAAAAAAACCAAAACAAUUUUCAAGCUUGUGUUACAGUGGUUCAGGCUUCUAAGUGCAUUCUCUGUCUUUUCCAGGGAGCUGCAGGCCUGGCCUGUUGGGCAACAGGGCUGUGAACUGAUGCUGGUGGGAUUCCUGCGUUGGGCAACAGAGGCGUUAAUCCAACAGUUGGGAGGUGUGGUUGUGAAAGAGCCCAGCCAGGCUCUUAGCACACACCAACAGAAGGAUAUGGAACAACCGCGGCGUUGCACGGAGCUGCACUUGCACCAUUUCCUCCUGUGUGACAGGAUCGGGCUCGAAGACCACGCGGAACGUGAGGCGAUACCACCAGGGACUAAGAUUGGUGCCAGACUUUUCCCAGUGGGCAGACCAAAUGGGAAAGUUCAAUUCUGCUCUAAAAACGUGAGAAAUUCUCUGUGAAGAUGCACGGGGGCCUAAGGCAGUGUUUGGGCCAGGCAUCCAACCACCACUGAUGCAUAGGGAUUGCAGAUCCUUGGUGCUUGUUCCCAGCCUGCACUCAAAAGCAAUGCUUCCAGAGGUGUUUGCAAACCUUCCCUGGUGCCUUGGAUGCCUGGAAUGUGCACCUCACCCCUGCUGCAGAAGUGGCAGCCUAGGCUUGGAUCCUGCUCAGGUGAGCCCCAAACCCAGGGACAAGGGAUAAAGCUCCAUGAAUUGAGCCUGAACCUUUCAUCCUGCCAGAUGACUUACACUAACAUUAAUGGAAACUGUGUGCAGAAACCACAAGUUUAAAUCAAGAGGAUUAUGUCAAAAAAGCAGACUUUACAUUUGUAAUUCCAAAUGACAGACUGUGAGCAGUGGUUUUUUUGCUCACUGUAAAGAACCCAUCACUAUUUUCAGCUUCUUAAAGCUGACACGAUGCCCAAACUUCAUGGGAAUCAAGUUCUGAAAUGGUUUUUGUAAUUCAAAGGAUAAAGGAAGAAAUCUCCCCAAAUGGGGUUAUGCUAAUAAGCACCUAUGCGAAAAGAGUAGUUCUCAGAAUCUUCAGCCCAAGUUUUGGCUUGGCAUCUCACUGCAGCUCCUGUGCCAAGGUAGGCAAGCUGCUGGAUAUCAUCUCCUUGUGGCGUGGUUGGGAGCGAGGUGAGCCAUGCUGCGUCAGUCUGUCUUUCCUACCCAUCCCUGAUGCUUUCCAUGGAAGAAAGCCUUUCUUGACCCUUGGCACUUUUCAAAUUCUGUCCACUAAUUAAAAUGAAAGGAAGGGAAAAGACAAACAUCAGGAAUCUCCACUAUGAGUGGUGUUGAUUUGUCUGAGGCUGACUGAGCCUGGAGAAAUAGCUCCUCAGCUUUUGAGCAGCUAGGGAUAUAGGGCAGAUCCAGCACACCAGUCAGGCACUGAUCAAAAUGCAUUUGAAGAAUGGUGUGAAAUUUAAUGCUGUGAGCAUUGCAUCAGGUUUAGAGGACAAGAACCAAACUUUUUGCCAGGAAACAGUAGCCAUCACUGACAAACAGGGAGCAACUCAUCUUGUCAAUGACGGACGUGUUUGCAGCUCCGGACAUCUGGAAGGGAUUUAGCAGAAAGGUCUGAUUCCUGUGGCACCGCUCAUCUCCCUGCCUGAUGGAUUCAAAGGGGAUGAGGUAAAAGGAGAAAAAGAAAACUGAAGAUUCUCAGGAGGUGCUUGGCUGCAGGCCAGCAGGCUGCUGGCUGCGUGGUUCUAAGAUUGCUCAGUCUUACAGAAAGCUGCAAAGGAACAGGCUGGUUCUAUAGGAAUGUGACCUGACUUUCCAACCUGCACGGUGACUUGGCUGUCAGGUUAUUCUGGCAGAGGUUUCUCCCUUCCUGGGGUCUGGGAAGCCUUCCAACUGACCGUGCAGCAUUUGUGGCUCGAGACACGCUGUGCUCGUGCCCUUGGUUUGGUCCCUGUUGGAGGUGACCUUCUUAGGCAUCAUGCUGCUGUACAGCAUGCUGGUGAGCCACAUGUUUUAUAAUCCCAUAAGGUUUGGUGUGUUAUCCAGUGCAUGACGUGCCUCCUUUACAUAAGGAUGAGACUGAAGGAGAAUAGCUGGUCUGUGUGUUUAACUUGCUGUUGGAAUAUGUCACUGUGUGGCUCAUGUUUUUGAGAUGUUUUCUUUUAGUGCCCUCUGGGCUAAAAUAAUAAGGGUCUGUCCAGGAGUCAGAAGUCAGCCUGUUGGCUCAGACCUCGGUGGGAUUCAGAUACAAUUCCUAAUUUGGGAAAUUCCUGCUCCAAGAAGUCCCUGGAGGAGAAUGGCUGAGGAAUUCCCUGAUUCUUAUUUUAAAGCGUAAAUCACUGAGAUCCAGAGUAAGGCUAAUGGGCUGACCGAAGACACAACCACCUAUGAAAGUAGUCCCAGCAAUAAUAUGCUGGGAGGAGGAUCUUCAGAUGACCCUUAAACAAUUUUAUUUUAUUUCAUUUUCCACUUUGCAGAAUGUUUGUUUGUUUAAAAGAGUUUUCAGGGGGUUUGACAAUUGGAAUUUUAGACAAGUCUUGAAAAUCUAGAGCAACAGUGUGGGUGCUGGAAAUGUCUAUCUAGCAUCCUGGCAGCUUGCUGCUCCCGGAGCAAGACUUUGUGCUUCAUGUUCUUGGGUGUGUGUUUGCACAAUAAUCACAUCCCCUGAACCCUUUGCUUUGCUCUCAGCUCUCCUACCUACCUGGCCUCUCAGAGAAAAAAAAGAAAAGUACAGUUUGGGAUUUGCAAUUAAACAACCAUGACCUCAUCCUGGGAGUUUCACAUUGCUGCGAGGAUUAGGACCAUAUGACUGCAAAGGCUGUCUGAUAAAUAUUUGUUCCUGCUCAUGGACGAAACGUCUCUCCCUCAGCAGCUGGAGGAGGGAGCUCUGCUUCCCGCUGCGAUGGGGCUCCGCAGCAGCUCCCUGUGCUCCUCCUCGUGUCAAUUAACCCAUCAUCCCUCCCUUGUAUUGAAAGGAGAAAGCGAAGGUGUCCGCUUGCCAGCUUGAGAGUCAGAGUGAUGAGUACAGAUGGUGCCAAAGCGUUGUGAAAAGCAGACGUAGAAGAAUUAAAAACUAAUAAUGAAGAAAUGUGUCUGUCUUGGUUGUGCUGCAACUGCCAGACUAAUCCUGCUGGCAUCCUCCCAGGUUAGAGCAUCACUUAUUCAUGUUCUUAGUAGCUGGCAAUGCCGCUUUGUAGGAGCAGUGGUGGAAACAGCUUUGGUUUUAAGCAGCUCUUUAGUUGUGCUGAGGUUUUGCUUCAUUUGAAUUCCAGAUUUCCAGGCACUUGGGGCUAAUCUAAUACAAAGUCCUAUUGUAUCACAUGAAGAAAUAACUUCUGUGACUCCUCCCGUCGGUGCCAGAAGCUCAGGUUCUGUUUACCUUGCACCACUGAAAUCAAGAGGUCACUUUGCCUGAGCAAGAGGGGCUGGAUUUGGCCCAAGCCAUCUUGCUUCACAACGUGCUGUCUAUCCCAUAAAAAUCUGUCUCCACUUUCACCCAGCUAUGGCUAUGCCCAGCUCCUGGUGCAUGCUCAGACAUCCCCUGCCAGACCUAUUCUCCCACUCCUGUGUCUCAUGUAAAAAGCCUCAAACCCAAGUGCACGUGGAACAUCAGAGAUGUGUGCACUCCUUGCUGGAUACAGCAGUGUGUGCCUGCCUUGGUGCCUGACUGAAACCAAUGGAAAACACUACUCUUUGCAUUCUACAGAGAAGGAACUACAUAGACCUGGCUGGUUGUAGAAGUGGUUUAUCCAGGAACACGUCUGUACGUUGAACUUGCAUAAUGAAGGCAAUUAUUUUCCAUUCAGCCCUCCGAACGCAUUGCAACAUUCGUUCUCAGCAGCGGUAAGGAAAUGGAUCCAAACUGUUCCAGCUCUCCUGGCCAUUUAUCAAGGAGCCUUUACAAGCUGUGUAGACUGCAUUACUAAAUCAUUCCCUCUCAGAAAUGAUUAUGAGCCUUGUCAUGUUAUCUACUCAACUGUAACUACAAAACCACUGUGACUAAAUGAAGCCAUAUGUCCCCUGUGAUUCCUUGCAGUGAUGAGGAGCCCUCCAUACCUACCUAUGAGUGCAUGUGUUUCUGUCUAUCUGUGUGUGCAUGUAGAUGGGUGGCAAUAACCCCAGAACCAUGUUAGUGGUGAAGUUCUGCUCGGCAUGCAGCCGCCCAAAGCAGUCAGUGGGGAAUGAGAUGUCUGUGUCUUCACAGGAUCACAGAAUGGCCAGGUUGGAAGGGACCUCAAGGAUCAUGAAUCUCCAACCCCCCAGCCACAUGCAGGGCCACACAAUGUCUUCCCACUGUCCAUUUCCCCAUCCCAGGACUGGUUUGGUGCAAGUUCUCCUAUGCUGUUUUUGUAUCACACUCCUAGAUGCAGCAUCUUUUCCUGCUGUUGAAGAUGUGACUCAAGUGAGACAUUGCGACCUCUGCCUUCUGCCCUGAGAAACACUCUGCUGUUCUCCCAGCACUGCUCUUGGCUUCCCAACACUGUAAUUGUAAGUAUUUUUAGUGUGCUCCUAACUGUGAGAGCCCACAGGGCUUGUAUAAGCCCUUGGGUUUACUUCAGAAAUGUGGGUAGUAUAUUGCAAAAUAUACAGAGGGGAACGUUCUUGUACUUUCUUGCUCUACUGUUUGUUUUUGUUCCUGUGUUUCCUUAAUACCACAUGAAACAUACCAAGACACAAUGGCAGCGACUGCUUUGUCACAUCAAGUGCAUCGUGUUCUGAUGGAGAGGUGGAGGAGAAAAUGGCUUCUCCAACCUUGCUGGAGAAAUUGUGGUGCUGAGCUGCACAGGGCUGUUCUGAGGUUGGUCUUCAAGUCAGAGCUCUGUCAUGGUUUCAGUGAGUUGAGUUCCAUCCAAAGUCUAUAGGAUAACAGGAGCAGCCUCCUGGCUAUGUGUGUCCCGUUACAAGAUGGUUUAUUGACAUAAUGUAAUUGCAGUAUCUUCUUGGCAGGGACUGAUUUCAUCUGCUGUAUUUAACAGAAAUUAACUGCUAUCUCCCCCCCUCCACCUCCCCUUUUAUUAAGGAAGUUUCAGUAUAACAUAAUAAAAUAAAUGAACUCAGAUUUCAAACCUUAGCAUCCCAAAAUAACAGUCUGCUGUAAUUUGGCUCAGGAUGCUCCAACAUUUGCUCUCUUCCUGCAUUACCAAGUGGCCAACAGCCAAGCCCAGCAGAUUACAGCGCUGACAUCGGGCGUCUAUCAGACCUUAAAUCAGUCAAAGUGGGCCAGAAACAACUUGCUUUUAUCCAUUUUAAGGUCUGUAGACUGCUCUUCAAGUGGUUUGCUCUCCAGUGAUGGCACAGACUUUUCCAUGGCUUAUGCAGCAAUGCAUGGAAACGAAUACUCCCCAGAACAAUACGUCAGACCAGGAUUUCUUGGGGUUUUUCUACUUCAUUGCUGGCUUGCUGAAAACAGGAUGAUAAAUUGCGGGAUAAGGAACAAAAUGAGAACAUGUGAGAGCUAUAGAAGUGCCUUGUGGGAGCUGUUCUCUAUCUCCUUUUUCUUUUUCUUAUAUGGACAACCUGACUAAGUGACGCUGAAUUAUUCCUUGAGAGUUGGAUUGCUGCUCCUUGUGACUUCCUGCCCUAUAAUUUUACUGUAUCAUAUAUCUGCAGCAUGGGCAGGGGGAAAUAGAAAACAGAUGAGGGGAUAUCAGCUCGGCCCCACAGUGCUGUUCAGUAGUUUUGGUGGGUUUGUUUUGUGUCUGUGCCCAUCGGUGUACGCGGGAGAAACGGAGCAAUGCAGAGACCUUCUGAAACAGAUUUAUCUCAAAGCAUUUAAUGUGGGAAGACAGUUACAAGCUUACACAAUGAGGUAAGAGAGUUGUUUUGUUUAUCCCAGAGAAGAUGAAACACAUAUUUCUUCCAUCUCAGUGACACAUUAAAAGGAAGCAGAGUAUGGUGUGUAAUUGCCUUUUUGGCCAAUGCUCCCCAGAGCCAGGACAGCGGGGUGCCUUGCAGUGCAUAGGGCUGCUGCACUGCUAAAUGCCUGUGGGGUAGUCAUUCAUUAAUUUGGGCAGACCUAACAAGGCAUCCAGCAAUAACUCUGGCCUUAAUGAGAAAGGAGAGCCUAAACCAACAGCCACUCCACCUGGUUUCCUUCAUGCAGAGUUGGGUUUGGGAUGGAGCAUGGCAGCUCUGGGAGCCACUGGGUACCCAGAGGGGCUGGGAAUGCUCUGUAUGGAUGCUGCAGACUGAGGAACUGGCAGAGCUUUGUGAUGGGGAUAAAUUCAGAGGGAUUUCUUUCUCUCAGGCUCUAAAAAGGUAGUGGACUCACUGUCCUGGGAAGGGUUGAAGAAGGAUGCAGGUGGGCAGUAUUGGUGAUAGAGGGACCAGGAGAUCUGAGAGGUCUUUUCCAACCUUAAUGAUUCCAUGAUUCUAUUUCUAGUAUUCUAAGGCAAUGGUCCUUGGCCCUAAAUUUGACAGCCAAAGCACGUUUCACUUUCUCUUCUUUCUAUCAUUCUCUAUUUUCUAUUUAUUUUUCUCCAUUCUUCCUCCAUCACCAAACACAACUCUGAGUUUUAUUUAAUUCUCAAUUCCCACCGUAUGUCACAUCCCCCAAAGGCCAGGCAGGCUGCAGGGUGCACUGGGGUUUCCAAGACAGCCUGUGCUGCUUGCAGCUCUCUGCAUGUGUUACUGCAGCAAUAGCACUGCACACACACGCAGUGCCUUUUGGACAGAGCUUUGAGACGAGCCAAAAGAUAAACCCCACCAAUUCCUUCCUGCAGCACAAGGGGUGGUGAGGAAAGCAAGAUUAGUCUCCUUCCUUUUUCAGCAGACUCCAGACACAUCAGAUGAAGCUGCCUACAAAGGGAAACAAUGAGGAUUAUGUGGUUUUAACCAGGAUUUUUUUGCAAGACCGAUGUGUGAAAGAGAGCUUGGCGUAAAGGAGCAUUUGCUGAGCCCUCAGUGUGUGAAACUCAGUGGAGAUUCAGUCUGUCUCAGGGAUUUGGGUUGUACCAUAUGUAGCUAGAACUUUUCAUCAUGGAAAUUACUGCCUAUACUACUAUGAGGAAAGCAGAACUUUAAUAUGGCAGCCUUUAAAUUCCACGCUGUUGAUCAUAGAAUCAUUAAGGUUGGAAAAGACCACUCAGGUCACCAAGUGCAACCACCAACCCAUCGCUGCUGUGCUCAUCAGUGCCCCUAAAGCUGUUGCUGGGGAGGUGGAAAGGUGGUGGUUUGUUGGCCUUCCUGUGCAGCGAUGGAGCAAAGCAAAAAAUAUUUAUGCUCUGAGCAAUUCAGUAAUUUCGGAUUUGUUUACGCAGCCCAAUCUUUCACUAAAGAUGCUUGUGAUUGCUGUAGGUUUCUUUGCUGAGGCUUUGGGGCAUGUCUUGCCACCCCUUCUGUCAGCGGAGCAGCUGUAACCCUGAAAUGCAUACCAGUGUCUGUUUGUGUAAGUGCAAUUUUCCACGUGAUUGAUUUCAGAGUAUUUGUAUGAGUGUGCACAGAGCCCGCUGCACAUGGAUUUCAUUUCAAACUCAGCAUCUGUCCGAAAGCAGAGGUUAAAGCAAGUGCAAGGCAAAGCGCUGGCCAUUCACAAAUAGGCUUGUCACAGUCUGGUGGCCCUCUGUAUUGGAAUGGUCCUUUGAAACAGGCAAACCACUCUCAAAACGAUUCACGGGAACUAAUUGAAGGCUCAGUCAGUACACAGAGUCCUGCUGGCACGGGGUAAUGAAUGGAGAUGCACUGAAGAGGAACCAGGAGGCAGUGCAACCAGGAGUGAGGGGCAGGGAGGAGGAAAACUGCAGCAGGAGAUAAAAACAUAAGGUUUAGGUGUGGAAGGUUGGCGUUAGGCAAUACCUAACAGGGUUUAAAAUCUCUCCCUUUUUUUCUCCGUAAGACAUGACCUCUAUUUCUCAUUUUUGGGAUGGAGACACGAGCCCUUCCAGGUAGGACUUUGAGAUCCAUCUGUUUGAUGGAGACAGCAUUGAGGAGAGGAAACCUGACACUGGGGAAAGGCUUUGUGUAUUUUAUCCCAGAAGAUUAAUGCUGUUUACGCUAAUCAGAUUUAUUUACUGCAGUGAGAAAAGUAUUUUUGUAAAUAAAAAGUGUUUAUUAUUGCUGAAGAGUUCUUCUGUUUGGCUCAGUGGUUGCUCCCUGGCUACAUUUCAAUUCCUGUCCAUUGCUGAGCUGCUGCCCUUCCUGUAGCCUGCAGAUCCCCUCGAGGCUUUUGCAGAAGUUUGUCCCCGAGGACAAGUGGCCACAAAGGGCCCCUUCUGCCUUCCAGAAAGACUUGGGGAGAAAAGAGCCCUUAAAGUUUGGUGUUGGUCCAACCAGAUUGAGUUCAUCAGGAACACGGCUAGGAUGUUGCAGUGCGUCAGGCUGGAAUUUGGGCACCAGGUGACAUGAGGCUUCCCUUAUGGACCCAUCAUUAAGGUUGGAAAAGACCUCCAAGAUCAUCUAGCCCAACUGUCAGCCCAUCCUUGCCAUUCCUGCUGAACUGUGACCCUCGGUGCCACAUCUCUGUUUCUUGAACACCUCCAGGGAUGGUGACCCCACCACCUCCCUGUGCUGGCAUUGCACGAGGA